GACGAACGCUGGCGGCGUGCUUAACACAUGCAAGUCGAACGGAAAGGCCCUGCUUGCAGGGUACUCGAGUGUCGAACGGGUGCGUAACACUUGGGUGAUCUGCCCUUCACUUCGGGAUAAGCCUGGGAAACUGGGUCUACUACCGGUUAGGAGCCCUUUUUAGUGUGAUGGUUGGAAAGUUUUUUCGGUGUAGGAUGAGCUCGCGGCCUGUCAGCUUGUUGGUGGGGUCAUGGCCUACCAAGGCGGGGACGGGUAGCCGGCCUGAGAGGGUGGACGGCAAACUUGGGAAGGAGAAAAGGCCCAGACUGCUAAGGGAGGAAGCAGUGGGGAAUAGUCCGCAAGAGACGAAAGGCUGACGGAGCAACGCAGGGGGAGGGAUGACGGCCUUCGGGUUGUAAAGCUCUGUGAAUAGGGACGAAAGGCCUGCUGGCGAAUAGUGAGAAGGAGUAACGGUACCGGAAUAGAAAGCCGAGGAUAACAACGUG
rnacentral:rRNA from 1 species